GACAGAGGUGCCGAGCGUUAGGCGGAAUCACUGGGCUUAAAGCGUGUGUAGGCGGAUGGGUAAGUACCUUGUGAAAUCCCACGGCGUCAACCGUGGAACUGCUCGGUAUACUGCUCGUCUUGAGCCAACUAGGGGCGACCGGAACAAACGGUGGAGCGGUGAAAUGCGUAGAUAUGUGGAGGAACACCGAUGGCGAAGGCAGCCCCCUGGGUCAAGACUGACGCUCAUGCACGAAAGCGUGGGGAGCAAACAGG
rnacentral:rRNA from 1 species